UACGUAGGGUGCAAGCGUUGUCCGGAAUUAUUGGGCGUAAAGAGCUCGUAGGCGGCUAGUCGCGUCGACUGUGAAAACCCGGGGCUCAACUCCGGGCCUGCAGUCGAUACGGGCUGGCUUGAGUGCGGUAGGGGAGACUGGAAUUCCUGGUGUAGCGGUGAAAUGCGCAGAUAUCAGGAGGAACACCGGUGGCGAAGGCGGGUCUCUGGGCCGUAACUGACGCUGAGGAGCGAAAGCGUGGGGAGCGAACAGG
rnacentral:rRNA from 1 species